CGGAGCUGGGCCGGGCGGGUCUCCUCUUGGGCAGCGAAUGGCUGGGGACCCUGACCCCAGGAUCGGAGGUGGACAGAGCCCGUCGAGGGAUGCUGGUGGUGGUGGGAAACCUGAGGACCUGGGUCCUCACCAGCUGCCUGGUCCCAAAGCAGGAAGAGAGAUUCAGAUAAAUAAAUAAAAACACAACUGUGAACAGACAUGGGACUCGAGUUAAGGACAGGCUGCUGCAGGACUGACGGGUGAAGUGUACUGCCUUCUGCCUCUCACUUGGAAAUGUACCACAAAGUCCUGUGCCUGCUGAGAUGUCGGGAUUUAUAAGAUGUGUUUGUUCCUUAUCCCCAUUUCUGGCACAGAGCCCCUGAAGCCCUUGGAAUUUCCUAAGUGAAACAGGGUUCCAGAGCUUCCGGAUUGGUGGACACCUGGAGACUGGGGAGAGCGGCCGGCAGAGCACGUGCAAGCUGCGCCCCCCUUCCCUGCACCUGGCCCUGUGCGUCUCUCCCGCGUGUCUCUUCCUGAGUUCUGUCCUCUUACCAUCAACCAGUAACCCAGUCGGUAAUGCGUGUGUCUGCUUCUGUGAGCCGCCCUCGCAAAGGAAUCAGACCCGAGGCAGCGGUUGUGGGAACCUCCAGUCCGCUCUUCAGAAGCCCAGGGGGUGACCACGUGGCCGAGCCCUCCCCCAGCCUGUGGGGCCUGACGCUGGGGGCAGGUGAACAGUGUCAGAACCGAGAUGAAUUGUAGGACCGCCCCCACCCCGCUAGCUUUGGGGGGUCGCUUGGUGCGGGGGGG